rnacentral:sRNA from 1 species
GAGUCCCGUCUGACUGAGACGGCAGGCCUGGGCGGGCGGGGGUGCCGCGAAGGGCGGAGCGCCGUGCUGGGGAUGAGCUAAGCGGGCUCAGAGCGCCGCGGCAUUCAGCCCCUCGUGUCCCGCUACCGCGCGUGAGGGAAUCCGGCGCCGCUCUCCGAGCUCGACCCGCUGCUCGCACGGGAGCCAGCUGGGAGUUAUUUCUCAAACUCUGAGGCUGCGGAGUUCACACAUUGAAAUCUGUCAUCUUUUUCGAGAGAAACUUUCGGUAAUGUAUGUAACCUUCUGUAAUGGAAGAUGAUUGAAGACAAGGGGCCUCGUGUUGCUGACUACUUUGUUGUAGCAGGAUUAACUGAUGUUUCAAAGCCUCUAGAAGAAGAAAUUCACUUCAAUGAUGCUUGUCAUAAAGUAGCUAAACCAAAAGAACCUAUUACAGAUGUUUCAGUUAUUAUCAAAUCUCUUGGGGAGGAAGUCCCACGGGAUUAUAUCUGUAUUGAUGUUACCCCAACUGGCUUGUCAGCUGAUCUUAAUAAUGGAAGUCUUGUGGGGCCACAGAUUUACCUUUGCUAUAGAAGAGGAAGAGAUAAGCCUCCACUUACAGAUCUGGGGGUUUUAUAUGACUGGAAAGAAAGAUUGAAACAGGGUUGUGAAAUUAUUCAGAGUACUCCCUAUGGGCGCCCCGCAAAUAUUAGUGGGAGUACCUCAUCACAAAGAAUUUAUAUCACUUACCGAAGAGCCUCUGAAAACAUGACUCAGAAUACGUUGGCUGUCACUGACAUAUGUAUUAUUAUACCCAGUAAAGGAGAAAGCCCACCACACACGUUCUGCAAAGUCGACAAGAAUCUCAAUAACAGUAUGUGGGGAUCAGCAGUAUACUUGUGUUAUAAAAAAUCGGUGGCAAAGACGAACACUAUAUCUUACAAAGCUGGCCUAAUUUGUAGAUAUCCUCAAGAAGAUUAUGAGUCAUUCUCACUACCAGAAUCCGUUCCUCUAUUUUGUUUACCAAUGGGUGCAACCAUUGAAUGUUGGCCAUCAAAUAGCAAAUACCCUCUGCCUGUAUUUUCUACAUUUGUUUUAACUGGAGCCUCAGCUGAAAAGGUUUAUGGUGCUGCUAUUCAGUUUUAUGAACCAUACUCUGAGGAGAAUCUCACAGAAAAGCAGAGACUUCUUUUGGGUUUAACAUCAGCAGAUGGGAAGUCUGAUAGUUCCAAAACAAUUCAUACUAACAAAUGCAUCUGCCUUCUUUCUCACUGGCCUUUUUUUGAUGCAUUCAGGAAGUUUCUGACUUUUCUGUAUCGUUAUUCCAUCUCUGGGCCUCAUGUUCUUCCAAUUGAGAAGCAUAUUUCUCAUUUUAUGCAUAAAGUUCCUUUUCCAUCUCCUCAGAGACCACGGAUUUUAGUUCAGUUAUCACCACAUGAUAAUCUGAUUCUCAGUCAGCCUGUGUCUUCACCUCUUCCACUAAGUGGUGGCAAGUUUUCAACACUACUGCAGAAUUUAGGCCCUGAAAAUGCUGUGACACUACUGGUGUUUGCAGUAACAGAACAUAAAAUUCUUAUCCAUUCCCUACGACCAUCCGUGCUUACUAGUGUGACAGAAGCAUUAGUGUCUAUGAUUUUCCCUUUCCACUGGCCAUGCCCAUAUGUUCCUCUCUGCCCACUGGCUUUAGCAGAUGUCUUGAGUGCACCAUGUCCAUUUAUAGUAGGGAUUGAUUCAAGAUACUUUGAUCUCUAUGAUCCUCCACCAGAUGUCAGUUGUGUUGAUGUAGAUACCAACACUAUUUCUCAAAUUGGUGACAAGAAAAAUGUAGCCUGGAAGAUACUUCCAAAGAAGCCAUGUAAAAAUCUGAUGAACACACUGAAUAAUUUGCAUCAGCAAUUGGCAAAAUUGCAGCAGAGACCGAGAGAUGAUGGACUCAUGGAUUUAGCAAUGAAUGACUAUGAUUUUAAUUCUGGAAAGAGGUUGCACAUGAUAGAUUUGGAAAUCCAAGAGGCAUUUUUGUUUUUCAUGGCCUCUAUUUUAAAAGGUUACAGAUCAUACUUAAGGCCAAUAACACAAGCCCCAUCUGAGACCGCCACAGAUGCAGCCUCUCUCUUUGCCCUACAAGCUUUCUUAAGAAGCCGGGACCGGUCACAUCAAAAAUUCUAUAACAUGAUGACCAAAACACAAAUGUUUAUUCGCUUCAUUGAAGAAUGUUCUUUUGUCAGUGACAAAGAUGCAAGCCUGGCAUUUUUUGAUGAUUGUGUAGAUAAAGUAAGUAAUGGUACAUCUACAGUGCCCUAACUUAUUUUGUGUGACUGUUAUAAAUGUUAUGAGUUAUAGUUUCUAUUUAUAGCUUUUAAUGAAAUUGAAAUUAAUUUCAUUUUCAUCAUUGACCACUUAUAAUGAAAGUUUUGGUAGCCUGCUAGAAAUUAUAGAAUGCACCUCUUACAAUUACCUUGUAGAAUUUUACUAAAUCAUAAGUUUUAUUUUAGCAAUCAGGUCCCUAACCCUCCCUGUCCACUUACAAAACCGGGAAUUUUUUGCCAGCCUGUGCACCUCCAACUUGAACGUCUGUAAUUUUCACCUCUCCUUUUUGUCUGAUAUGGGUUAUCACAUGCUGAAAGUAGGUAUAAAAGUAUAAUAAAUGUUUUACCUGAAUAUUUC